rnacentral:rRNA from 1 species
UACGGAGGAUGCAAGCGUUAUCCGGAUUUAUUGGGUUUAAAGGGUGCGUAGGCGGAUCAAUAAGUCAGUGGUGAAAACCUUCAGCUUAACUGGAGACUUGCCAUUGAUACUGUUGGUCUUGAGUAUGGUUAAGGUAGGCGGAAUGUGUAAUGUAGCGGUGAAAUGCUUAGAUAUUACACAGAACACCGAUUGCGAAGGCAGCUUACUGAGCCAUAACUGACGCUGAUGCACGAAAGCGUGGGGAGCGAACAGG